ensembl:lncRNA
GUUCUCAUAGUUCUCAUUGUGUACGCAUAGUUUCCCCCACCCACAGUGUGUGUGUGUGUGUAUGUGUAUGUAUGUGUUCUCACCUGUGAUUGCAGGUUUUAACACGACACUGGAACAGGGUGGGGCAACAAUUCGUUCAUCCUGUUCGCAGUUAUUCCCGGAUAUUUAACAAUUAGCUUGCCUUUAAAACUCAUUCCUGGACAUCAUUGGAUAAUAAUAACAAUAAUUUUUUUAAAAAAGGAUAUAACUUGAGAAGCGAACUGCACAAUGCCUAACGUUGCCAACAACCCACUGGAUGAUGGAGUUCUGAGUCAGGGCUUGCUGAACUGCAGGGCUCAGAACUGUAAUAAUGUGGGAGAUUGCGUGAUUCAGGACGGAUUGCAGGUUUGUAAAUGUUUGCUGGGCUACAGAGGACACUCAUGCCAAGAAACGGUCAAUGACGGAUUAGCCGCCCCACUCACUCUGGGAGUCUUGGGCUUCAUCAUUGGCUUCAUUGUCCUGGCAUUUGUUCUAGCAUUUGUCCAGCAAAGGAGGAGAGAACGUUUAUGGGAACAAACCAACGAGAAAAGGGAGGAAUUGAAAAAGAACGGUGAUUUUUCUCACACAAAAAUAGGGUCAUGGGGAACCUGGAGUCUAUCCCAGGGCGCAUCAGACACAAGGCAGGGGACACCCUGGACGGGGUGCCAAUCCAUCGCAGGGCACAAUCACAUACACACUCACACCCAUUCAUGCACUAUGGACACUUUGGACACGCCAACCAGCCGGCCGUGCAAGUCUUUGGAAGUGGGGGAUGAAACCAGAGUAACGGGAAGAAACUCCUGCAACACAAUUUAAAAAUAUUUUUCAAAUAAUAAUUAAUAUUUAAAAACAAUUACAAACUGAAGCACAGGGAGAAUAUGCAAUAUCCUUAUACACAGGGCCACGUUGGGAAUCGAACCCCCAACCCUGGUGGUGUGAGGCGAACGUAUUAACUGCUAAGCCACCUUUAUAAGAUAUCAUUUGUUUUUUUAAAACAUUUUUUAUAUAUAUAUAUAUAUAUAUAUAUAUAUAUAUAUAUAUAUAUAUAUAUAUAUAUAUAUAUAUAUAUAUAUAUAUAUAUUAAAAAAUAACAAUUACAAACCAUGGAUACAGAUAUGAUGUUACAUUUUUGUUCCGAAUCUUAAAUUGUAAAACGGGAACGUUUUUAUUUAUUUUAUUUUCCUCAUUGUUAAAUGCUUUAUUUUUGUAGACAUGAAAUAAAAUUAUAAUCACAAUGAAAUUUUAAAGGUUUAUUUAUUUAUUUUUUUUAUUAUGUUUUGUAUUGUAUAUCUUUAAGCAUGGUGAUAUGUUUGUCAUUUCACCCAUCAAUAAUAUGCACUAACAUUUGCGGGUUUUGUCGCAUUCUAUUUAAUCAACUUGGGCAAAACAAAGUGAUACUGUAUGGCUUGUAGCAUGUAACUAUUUCAGGGACUUUUCCCAAAGCAUUCACCAUUUCGAGACUACACGUGCAUCUAGAAGUGUUUUGUAUGUACGUGCAGUAAGAGCAGUGUAGCAAUGGUCAAAAAUGCUUUCCAAUAAAAUAGGCAAAAUCUCUUCAAAUCAGACCACCUGUAAGUACUUUGAAAAAAUGGUGGGGAUUAUAUUUCCUGAAAACCACCCACGCUGCUUAUUUAGGCACAAAUAAAGUCUUCAAAAGCACCUAUAAAGGAAGGAAUUAUCACAGUUUGACCCCAAGUUAUGAUGUAGUCGUCGUGUAUUGUUGUAGUAAGCAAGUUUUAGUAAGUGCUUACUCUCUAAUCGCUUUGUGUUUUUUCUCACCACAGGAAAAAGGGGAUUUUUGUAUGUAUAAAGUAUUUCCACUUCGACAAGAACGAAUACUCAUCUGCAUUGUUUGCUUGGAAGCAUGCCUUAAAAGUUUGGGAACUUUUAUACUUCAUACAAAUUCCACAUUUCUACUUUUAAAGGAAUGGAGACGACGCGUGUCUUGUGCUUGGGUGCUCAAAGGCUCUGGUUGCUAAAUGCUAAUGACUGAUAUUUUCUGUGUCUAGCUGUUUAGGCCAAAGUUUUUCUCAAUGUAUUUUCUCAGCGCAAAAGCAUUUUAAAUGCCUUGUGUUGGAAACAUGAAAUGUCACCGAUACUGAUAAUCUCAUUUUACUCUCAAUCUGGUGGGACUGAGGCAAUAACUAUGCAGUAUUUUACGUGCUUAAACUAUCAAGUAUUUCAGUAAUGUGUUGUGCUUGUGUUUGUAUAGCUUCAGAUCUAACUGGUCACUUCAAACCAUGCGGCAUUUAGAUUGACUUCAAGAAUUAUGUGCUCUGUAUUGGGUUGUUUGGGGAAACUCUUGUAUAUUUGAGACAGAUUAACACAUUUCAGUGCCCUUGAGUCUUGAGAAAGAGCAGUAGAAUUAGAUGGUCCACUGUGUUCACAUGUGCUGAUUUAUCCUCUAAAUAUGGCCUGGAAAUCACUCAGGGGAUUUUAUGUUCCAUAAUUGUUUUAUGAAAGCUUUUUAAAAUCUGUUUGUAAUUUACUUAUAAAUUUUCACAUAAAAAUAAAAUCAUUUUGCUCUCUGUGCGUCAUGCCAAGUUAUAUUCAGUCUAUGAGUAUUAAAUAUCACUAAUCUCAGCGACCAAAGAUGAAUUCCAAAGUCAAGUAAAAAUCCUACAUUUGCUUUGUUAUAUUCACCAGUUAGAUCUGCUUUGAUAAAUAAAAAUGUUAGCAUUGGCAAUUUGCCGGAUUAUAAGAGGAAUAGAACACUUUGGAACAUUCAAUUAUAAAAAAUCAAAAUAAAAAAUCAUCUAAAAAUAACAACCCCAUCUUUGAUUAUUUCCCUAUAACAGCACAUCCCACUGUGUAUGAUAUGAGGAUAUAAA